GGUAUGAUGAUUGUGGCUUAGGUUGUGUAUAUGUGAAUAUUGGAGCUUGAUUGGUGAUUUUGAAAAGCUUGAAAAAGGGAUUUGGUGGUGAAAAAUCUGUUCUUGGAGGUAUUGAGGCCUUGAGAGCUUGUGGAUAAGUGGUUUGGAAGUGCUCCGGUUGAGCUUGGGAAAUCGGCUAAGAUGCAGGACGUGAGGUUUCCCGCUGAGGCAUGCUGGAGACUUCUAUAAUUGCGAAGAUCCUUUGUUCUCGGGGCUAUGUUUUGGUUUAUAUGUUUUGCUUAGAUACUUUUAUCUCCAUUAAA